AUCUGGACCAGCUGCUCUUCA
rnacentral:miRNA from 1 species